rnacentral:rRNA from 1 species
UUCCUGCGGAAUAGCUCCGGGAAACUGGAAUUAAUACCGCAUACGCCCUACGGGGGAAAGAUUUAUCGGGGAAGGAUUGGCCCGCGUUGGAUUAGCUAGUUGGUGGGGUAAAGGCCUACCAAGGCGACGAUCCAUAGCUGGUCUGAGAGGAUGAUCAGCCACAUUGGGACUGAGACACGGCCCAAACUCCUACGGGAGGCAGCAGUGGGGAAUAUUGGACAAUGGGCGCAAGCCUGAUCCAGCCAUGCCGCGUGAGUGAUGAAGGCCUUAGGGUUGUAAAGCUCUUUCACCGGAGAAGAUAAUGACGGUAUCCGGAGAAGAAGCCCCGGCUAACUUCGUGCCAGCAGCCGCGGUAAUACGAAGGGGGCUAGCGUUGUUCGGAAUUACUGGGCGUAAAGCGCACGUAGGCGGAUAUUUAAGUCAGGGGUGAAAUCCCAGAGCUCAACUCUGGAACUGCCUUUGAUACUGGGUAUCUUGAGUAUGGAAGAGGUAAGUG